UGUUCUUGCAGGUUACAUUUGUUCGGUCAAGUACCAAGCAAAUUUUUUUCUGGAAUUUGUGUUUGAAUACCAAAUUGUUUGAGUACUGAGAUACCACCAUAUUUCGUUCAUUAUUUUUACAAAUGAAGUUAUCGUUCAUAGGUUAUAACAGCAUGUCAUUAAGCAUAAAAUAAACUGUUUUCAGUGUGAAAAACAUUACAGCUUGAUAAGUGGCAAAUAGCAGGAACUUUAAACAGGAAGAAGGAAAGUUCUAAGACAGACAUGAUAUCAAGCUUCUAAGAUUAUUGAAAAAGGUUAAACAAUGGAAAUUAACAAUAACUUGGUCUUUGUCAGAUAGAGUGAAAAUAUUAGCCAUUGUGAAGAAAUCAAAGUAUAAUACAAAUAUGUUUAAGAAGUAAAAAUAUGCAUUUUUAGAGGAAAACAAAAUUGCAAAUUUCUGAAAUGCAACCAUCCGGUGUCUUAAGUUUUAGAUAAUUUUGGUUGAGGUGUGGAUUUUUGAGAACCGAUCGUCUUAGUAUACAUCACGGACAUGCAACAGGAAGGCUACAAGGCCAAGAAGAAAAAGAAGUAUUGGCUAUCUGCACAAGGAGUCCAAAAUUUCAAUUUGUAUCGGACCAGAUCCUCUGGAAUGUUUCACGAUAGUCUGACCGUCCUUUGAGUCACAUCAAGAACUUAGCUAAACUUUUAAGGAGUUUUACUUCUCAACUAAACUCAUUACAGGAAUUACAGGAACGAAAGUCUUCUUAAUGUCCAUAAGUUAGAGUAAAUAAAAAAAAAUUUCAACAGAUUCAAAUAUCAUUCGUCAAACUGCAAAGUAAAUUCUCAUUCAUAUCAGAUGUUGUGUAACAAUUUUUGGCAACAGAACCAAGUCACAUAUUUUAUUUUAUUUAGAAAAUUGCUUCUAUAAAAAUCAAUAAUAUAUGUACAGUAUAUACAUACAUGUAUAGGAACUAUUUUAAACAAAACUUCAUUUUAAUAUCACAAUAAAUUUGCAUUGACAAAUUAUGAUUUGAUUUAACCUGAUUGUGUCUUUGAUUAUCACCUUUUUCCUCAAGUUUAAUUAAAUGUUACAUUUAAUCCAUUUGUAUGAUCAAUAGAACUUUUCAAAUUUUAUAAGAUGUGAUAAUAUUUAUUGAAAUUUUUCUGUUGUUUAAAUAUAAAAUUAAAUAAUAAAUAGAUAAACAAAUAACUUUGUUUCAUCCUUGGAAGAAGAAAUUAUUUUCAUCAUAACAAACUACAGAAACUGGAGAGAAUGUCAGAAAAUAAAUUCAUGCCUUAAAACUCAAUUUCUAAAAAGUUAAAAAUAAAUUCACACCUUAGAACUUAACAUACAGAAAGCUCAAAAUAGAGUAUGUUACUUCACCGAAUAUUCUAAUUUCUUGUUUGUGUAAAUAUUGAUACAUUCUGAGGACAAUUCUUAAAGAUCAAAAAUGUUAUUAUUUUUUUUUUUUUAAAGAUUGCUCAUUUGAUUAAAAAAGAAUUCUACAUAUAAUUUUGUCUGUCAAAAUAGGUCAACAUAAGCCAUUCUUUCAACAACCAAUCUGUGGUGAGAAAAACCACAGAACAGAUCAAGUUGAUUCCAAAUGUACUUUUCAAUAGAUAUGAAUUAUGUGGAUUAUCAUCGCAGAAUGAAUAAGUCGGUUAAGUGUUUUCUGUUUAAAAAUACUGACGGCUAAUUUCACAAGAUACUUCUUAGCCAAAGAAAAUUCACAAUUAUAUAUUGGUUGUUUAGGAGAAAUCAUAUUGGUAAAAAUUUUCAAAUAAUCUAAAUCUGAUGUUAACUACCAUAUUUAAAAUCGUCAUUUAAAAGUAUUGUCCUUGCAUGCUUAUAUUUUGUUGUAAUUAUUAAUUAGAUAAUUUAAAACCUUUUCGUCUUCAGUAGGAAAAUAUAUUUGUGGCAGAAAAAAACUAGUUUCAAACCAUCUCCAUUUCAUUUAUUUUGUAAUGGACCAUAUUGAAAUAGUUGAAAUCAUAUGGUAAAAAUUUACCUCAAAUCUUAUUAUGAUGUUAUUUUGUAUUAUACUUAAAGUAUUAUGUUGUCACCAUUCUUUGAUUUAUCAUAGAGAUAUCUAGAAAGUAGCAUUUUCUGAUAUCUAAUUCACAACUGUUAUAUCUGCAUCUUGCUUAUACAAAGUGACACACUUAAAAUAAAAAUCCAAUAGCUUUUUACAAAAUUGAUGCAGAGAAACAAAAAUGAUUUGUACAAGAAACAUAAUAUACAUACAUGCAAAACAAAUUUAGUAUUUCUGACAAUUACCAGAAGUACCACUUUCACUGAAUAUAGAAUAUAUAAAAACAUAAUUAUGUAUGCAAUAAAUAUCACAGAAAAUAACUUAAAAACAUCAUGCUUAAAUAUGUUGGAAACCACAUUUCUAUACAGCAAUGCAGCUUUACAUCAUUUGCUUUCUUUUAUGCAAGU